AUUGAACGCUGGCGGCAUGCCUUACACAUGCAAGUCGAACGGCAGCACGGGAGCUUGCUCCUGGUGGCGAGUGGCGAACGGGUGAGUAAUGCAUCGGAACGUGCCCUGAAGUGGGGGAUAACGUAGCGAAAGUUACGCUAAUACCGCAUAUUCUGUGAGCAGGAAAGCAGGGGAUCUUCGGACCUUGCGCUUUUUGGAGCGGCCGAUGUCGGAUUAGCUAGUUGGUGGGUAAAGGCCCACCAAGGCGACGAUCCGUAGCGGGUCUGAGAGGAUGAUCCGCCACACUGGAACUGAGACACGGUCCAGACUCCUACGGGAGGCAGCAGUGGGGAAUUUUGGACAACGGGCGCAAGCCUGAUCCAGCCAUGCCGCGUGAGUGAAGAAGGCCUCGGUUGUAAG
rnacentral:rRNA from 1 species